GGACAAGGAGAACAGGUUCCCAACCCAGACAGGAGAAACAGAAAAGCUACCUGGAGAGGUGACAUUGACAUUGAAGUUGACUGAGUUUCUGCAGUUGUAUUUUUUAACCUGCAAGGCCAUUGACAAUGCAGAAGAACCCAGAUUUCAAGAGAAACAGAGCUAGAUUCAGACAACACCUCCACCACCACUUACUGUCUGCAUCAGUCAGGGUUUUAUUCAACAUUUGAAUCAUGCUCAAACUUGCAGACUUGACUUAAAGCUUAGAUGCUUCAUCUCCAAAAGAAGCUGGCCAUGGAGUACAACAAGGAAUCUAGUAGCAGUCUGGAGUUUUCCUCUAGAAAGUGCUGUGGUCUCAAAAUGCAGUCCUGGGUAUCUGGACACAAUCCCACAAAGGGUGACUGCUAAAAAGAAAAGAUUUCAGGAUUGAGGAACAUAGCUCCUUCUUCUAAUGCACACUAUGUUGGGAUGGUGGGAUGAAGGCCGAAAUUUUCCAGGUUGGAGUCUUUUGGUGGUUUGUUUGCUUAUCCUGUAUCUGGAGUUGAGAAGAAACCAAGUUUGAGAUUUAGGAUGUGGACAGGAGGUAGGAGUUUUGCCCAUAAAUUACAACAGAGUCUGAACCCAUGGGGACUGCCAAGAAGACAAAGUGGUCACAAUUGGCUUGGGCCCGAAGCCAGGGCCCCUGCAGAGCAGGAGCCCAGUUGGGGCCUCCUCCCAGAGCCAGUGCAGCUCUGCCUGUGCGUGGAUGAUAAGCUCUGUGCUGCUUCCUCUGAAUCAUGAAAACAAACAGACCGGGCCACGAUGGAAUAAAUGAAGCUGCAGAUGAAAGACAUUUUGAAGACGAACAUGAAUUAGAGGGUUGGAGGGAUCUGAUUUUGACUUUCACAUUCAUCUGCCUUCUCCUUUCAGCAGUGGGGCCAAGGUGGCCGGCCAAGCCACUGGGACUUCUACAAGGGCCUCUGCAGGCAGGAGGCUAGUGAAGACUUAGAGCCUGUAGCGUGGACUCACGCUCAGGAGAGCCAUGAAGCCGGGGCCUCGUCUGCAGCUUUCUUCAUUCACGCUGAGAAAGUUUGUCCUUCCUGCCACCCGUAAUUUUCCUGGAGAACUGAAAAUAACAAAACCAGAGGGAUAUCCACAGAGUCCAUAGGUUCCUAGGUUAGUUCUACACGGUCCCCUUCUCCUCCCAGAAACACGAGAUGUCAGAUUCCUCAAGAUUCCUUUGAGCUCACCCUAAACUGCUCGGGGCAAGAACAUCAGUCUGUUUGUCUCUUGAGACCGUCUCUGGCAUGUUUAUGAAAAGAUCACUGGAGACUCCAGUUUCACAAUCAACAAUGUACCUAAAAAUAGAAAAAAAUCUGUUCCAGGAUAAUUUUGUCUCCGAACAGCAAGAUCAACAAAAGAUGCCUUCAGGGAACAAGUGGUCCUUCACUGAAGUCUAACGAAGCUCUGAGCUGCCUCUCAGAGCAAGGGGAGGGUGUGGCUCCCAAACGUCCUCUUCCUCUUCCCAUCAGCUCACACUGACUGGCAGUACGGAUGAAGCUGUGAACAGUAAAUGGUGACUGUGAACCAUUCUGACGCCGUCACCUGGGGCUAGGUGGCACUGUUUAAUGAACCAUCUCUGCGCAAGGAGGAAGAGAAUCACAUCACAGAAAAGUCGUGAAAUGAUUGAAAUGUUCUUUUCUGUUCCCCCAAAGCAUCAUUAAAUGUAUGUUUCAAUCUCCUAAUAUAAUCUGAUUAACAUAUAUGCUUGACAUGAUUCAUUAGAAUAAUGACAAUGGGAAUUUCCAAGGAACACUUAUUCUGUGCCAGGGACAGUGCUAGCCACUCGACAUGAAUUAUUUCACUUAAUCUUCUCAGUAAUUUAGUUGAGAAAAUUGAGACUCUGAUUUUAAGUGAUUUUUCUAAGGCCGUGUACAUAAUGCAUAGGUUUGAAUUCCAUGUGUCUUUGACUGCAGAAUCCAUGCUAGGCCACACCUCCUAGCUCUAAAACAGCAAUAAUAUAUCAUAAGAAAGGGACCAGGAGAUGAAAGGGGGCAGGAAUUGGCAUCUGCCCAGUACUUGGUCUAUAUCAGGUACAUUACAUGUUUUCGCAUGCCCAACUUUACAUAAUUAAUAAGUAGGUGAGCUAAGAUUUAACACCAAAUGGAUCUGCUUUCAUAGUUCACUCAUGUUCCCUCAAGUGGACUUUCUGCCUGAUUACUUUAGGUGAGUUUAAAAAAAUUAAAAUAGGUAUUAAAGUUAAAUUUAGGGACCACCUAAUCCUGAAGCUAACCAAAAACAGUAUUGGGAAUUAAACUUAAGACACUGAUAUCCUGAUUAUCUAUUGCUGCAUAACAAGUUACCCCAAAGUGUGGUGGCUUUAAUAUAAUAAUUUAUUAUUGUUAUUAUAAUCAUAAUUCUGUGGAUGAAAAACUCAGGUGGAACACAGUGCAACAGCAUGCUUCUUUUCUUCUCUUUCGCUGUUAUUUAUUUAUUUAAGUUUUAACUGACACGUAGUAACUAUACAUAUUUAUGUGGUAAAGUGUGAUGUUUCAAUAAAGGCAUGCAUUGUGCAAUGAUCAAAUCGGGGUAUUUAACAUAGUCAUCACCACAUACAUUUAUCUUUUCUUUGUGAUGAGAACAUUUCAAAAUCCUCUCUUCUAACUAUUUUGAAAUAUACAAGACAAUAUUAUCAACCAUAGUCUCCCUACUGUGCAAUACAACACCAGAACUUAUUCCUUCUGUCUAACUGUAACUUUGUACCCACUGACCAACAUCUCUGCAUGCCUCAGGAUGUCUUGCUUCUGCUCAGCAAUGUCUGGAGUCUCAGAUGGGAAGACUUGAAUGGUUGGGGGCUGAAACAGCUGAAGGCUGGAUGGGUAUCUCUCUCUUACUCUGCCUUUAUCUCUCUCUCUCUCUCACUGUCUCUCUCUCUCCAAAAUAGCAAGCUUAGGCUUCCUCACAAUAUGGCAAUCUCAGGUUAGUUGGACAUCUUAAACCGCAGCAGAGCUUCAGAGUGUUCCAAGUAUUUCAAGAAAAGGAAGUGACAUCUACCAGUCUCUUAAGGCCUGGACCAAGAAACGGAU
rnacentral:lncRNA from 10 species